rnacentral:lncRNA from 1 species
CGGAAGGCUGCUGGGUGUAGUCAAGUACUUGACUUGUCGGUGCGUGUGUCAAGAUGGGAUUGACCACUCCAGUUUAGGAGCUGUGUACAGUCGUGUUUCAAUUUAGCAAAAUCUUGACCAGGGUAGUCCUAGUGAGGAGUCACAGAACUAAUUGAGUUGAGCACGAUUCGGAUGAUAUCAUCAGGGUUGACAGUUUAACCCUGAGUCAUUCUAAACACAGGGGUCAAAAGGGAUGAAUUAUACGGUAACCAUAUUCACGUAGGUUCUGAAUGUUGCGAUUGCGAUUAUUCGACCUAUCCGAUCGUCGGGUACCAUUGCUAUAUGGUCACUUCGAUUAGUAUAGGAAUUGGUUCCUGUGCUACCGGCUUAGGUUUGAACCUGCGGGGUCACACACAUUAGUGGUUCCUUUCUGAUCAGAUGGCUGAUUAUGAGUCUUAUGUGUCUGGAACUCUAUGAUUGAGAAUUAGAAUUUUCUGAUCAUGAGUUCCACACAUUUUGGGUACCGGGGUCAAAAUUUUGAAUUUUGAAUUUGAAAUUUGAACUCUUUGAUCAG